GUCCUAGUAGCGCAAUGGAUAGCGCGCUGGAUUUCUUAUCCAGGGAUUGUGAGAUGGAAUCCCACCUGGGAUG